rnacentral:rRNA from 1 species
GAUGAACGCUAGCUACAGGCUUAACACAUGCAAGUCGAGGGGCAGCACGGAGAUAGCUUGCUAUCUUGGGUGGCGACCGGCGCACGGGUGAGUAACGCGUAUCCAACCUGCCCAUUACUCAGGGAUAGCCUUGCGAAAGUAAGAUUAAUACCUGAUGUUGUUAAAAACCCGCAUGAGUUUUUAACCAAAGAUUUAUUGGUAAUGGAUGGGGAUGCGUGACAUUAGGUAGUUGGUGAGGUAACGGCUCACCAAGCCUACGAUGUCUAGGGGUUCUGAGAGGAAGGUCCCCCACACUGGAACUGAGACACGGUCCAGACUCCUACGGGAGGCAGCAGUGAGGAAUAUUGGUCAAUGGGCGAGGCCUGAACCAGCCAAGUAGCGUGAAGGAUGAAGGUUCUAUGGAUUGUAAAACUUCUUUUAUACGGGAAUAACAUCACCUACGUGUAGGUGCCUGCAUGUACCGUAUGAAUAAGCAUCGGCUAACUCCGUGCCAG